GAUGAACGCUGGCGGCGUGCCUAAUACAUGCCAGUCGAGCGAACGGACGAGAAGCUUGCUUCUCUGAUGUUAGCGGCGGACGGGUGAGUAACACGUGGAUAACCUACCUAUAAGACUGGGAUAACUUCGGGAAACCGUAGCUAAUACCGGAUAAUAUUUUGAACCGCAUGGUUCAAAAGUGAAAGACGGUCUUGCUGUCACUUAUAGAUGGAUCUGCGCUGCAUUAGCUAGUUGGUAAGGUAACGGCUUACCAAGGCAACGAUGCAUAGCCGACCUGAGAGGGUGAUCGGCCACACUGGAACUGAGACACGGUCCAGACUCCUACAGGAGGCAGCAGUAGGGAAUCUUCCGCAAUGGGCGAAAGCCUGACGGAGCAACGCCGCGUGAGUGAUGAAGGUCUUCGGAUCGUAAAACUCUGUUAUUAGGGAAGAACAUAUGUGUAAGUAACUGUGCACAUCUUGACGGUACCUAAUCAGAAAGCCACGGCUAACUACGUG
rnacentral:rRNA from 1 species